rnacentral:rRNA from 1 species
GCAAGUCGAACGGUAACAGAAGGAGCUUGCUCCUUGCUGACGAGUGGCGGACGGGUGAGUAACGCGUAGGAAUCUACCUAUCUGUGGGGGAUACCAGUUGGAAACGACUGUUAAUACCGCAUAAUAAUCUUAGGAUUAAAGGUGGCACUUGUGCUGCCGCGGAUGGAUGAGCCUGCGUUAGAUUAGCUUGUUGGUGGGGUAAAGGCCUACCAAGGCUGCGAUCUAUAGCUGAUUUGAGAGGAUGAUC